rnacentral:rRNA from 1 species
AGUGAACGCUGGCGGUAGGCCUAACACAUGCAAGUCGAACGGCAGCACAGUAAGAGCUUGCUCUUACGGGUGGCGAGUGGCGGACGGGUGAGGAAUACAUCGCAAUCUACUUUUUCGUGGGGGAUAACGUAGGGAAACUUACGCUAAUACCGCAUACGACCUACGGGUGAAAGCAGGGGAUCUUCGGACCUUGCGCGAUUGAAUGAGCCGAUGUCGGAUUAGCUAGUUGGCGGGGUAAAGGCCCACCAAGGCGACGAUCCGUAGCUGGUCUGAGAGGAUGAUCAGCCACACUGGAACUGAGACACGGUCCAGACUCCUACGGGAGGCAGCAGUGGGGAAUAUUGGACAAUGGGCGCAAGCCUGAUCCAGCCACACCGCGUGGGUGAAGAAGGCCUUCGGGUUGUAAAGCCCUUUUGUUGGGAAAGAAAAGCAGCAGGUUAAUACCCCGCUGUUCUGACGGUACCCAAAGAAUAAGCACCGGCUAACUUCGUG